rfam:Aedes albopictus isolate Foshan contig117955, whole genome shotgun sequence.
GGCUCGGUAGCUAAGUUUGAAAAGCACUUGUCUGUUGAGUAAGGGUCGUGAGUUCGAAUAUCACCUGAGCUG